AUGCUCACCUGAGAGGGAGAUGGUCAGACCAAGCAGACAGCUUUCUCAGGGUAAGGCCCAUCUCCUGCAGUCUGAUGUGCUAACCCUGAGAUUUUCUCACAUACAGGAAAUUCAACUGCAUACAUUUCUGGUAGUGGGGUAUUGUGCUCAUGUUCUCCUC